UCGGCUACACAUACACGUCCGUGUUUAACGGUGGCGUCACUUACUGUUCCUUAGUUUUAGUUCAGACCGCAGCAGAAAGCGCCGCUGCGCUUGAGCUUCAGAAAUGCUCAGGUUUGCUCGAAAUGCUUGGUGCAGAAGGCGUGGUGAAAUGAGACUUCAGUGGGGAUAGAAACAGGGCAAGAAUAUGUAGCCAGAGAAUAAAGCAGCUUCAAGAGAGUGAUACAAGAGUGCUGGUGGAUACUCUCAAGGAGAUCAAUACAGGGAUAGCAGGAGUCAGAGAUGAUAUGGGGAUCCACUGCAGAGCCAACUAGCUACUGUAUAACAGCUAUGCUUACUGGGUCUGUUGUGGCCCACGUUCUGGAGGUGGAUGCUGCCAAACAGAAGCACUUCUUGUCCACAAGAAAGGACAGGACAAGUAUGAAUUCCAAGACUGUAGCUCAGCCUCUGUGAUGGGCAGACGUCACCACUGUCAGGAGAAAUAAGACUGUUCCCAG